rnacentral:rRNA from 1 species
CAAGUCGAGCGAACGGACGAGAAGCUUGCUUCUCUGAUGUUAGCGGCGGACGGGUGAGUAACACGUGGAUAACCUACCUAUAAGACUGGGAUAACUUCGGGAAACCGGAGCUAAUACCGGAUAAUAUUUUGAACCGCAUGGUUCAAAAGUGAAAGACGGUCUUGCUGUCACUUAUAGAUGGAUCCGCGCUGCAUUAGCUAGUUGGUAAGGUAACGGCUUACCAAGGCAACGAUGCAUAGCCGACCUGAGAGGGUGAUCGGCCACACUGGAACUGAGACACGGUCCAGACUCCUACGGGAGGCAGCAGUAGGGAAUCUUCCGCAAUGGGCGAAAGCCUGACGGAGCAACGCCGCGUGAGUGAUGAAGGUCUUCGGAUCGUAAAACUCUGUUAUUAGGGAAGAACAUAUGUGUAAGUAACUGUGCACAUCUUGACGGUACCUAAUCAGAAAGCCACGGCUAACUACGUGCCAGCAGCCGCGGUAAUACGUAGGUGGCAAGCGUUAUCCGGAAUUAUUGGGCGUAAAGCGCGCGUAGGCGGUUUUUUAAGUCUGAUGUGAAAGCCCACGGCUCAACCGUGGAGGGUCAUUGGAAACUGGAAAACUUGAGUGCAGAAGAGGAAAGUGGAAUUCCAUGUGUAGCGGUGAAAUGCGCAGAGAUAUGGAGGAACACCAGUGGCGAAGGCGACUUUCUGGUCUGUAACUGACGCUGAUGUGCGAAAGCGUGGGGAUCAAACAGGAUUAGAUACCCUGGUAGUCCACGCCGUAAACGAUGAGUGCUAAGUGUUAGGGGGUUUCCGCCCCUUAGUGCUGCAGCUAACGCAUUAAGCACUCCGCCUGGGGAGUACGACCGCAAGGUUGAAACUCAAAGGAAUUGACGGGGACCCGCACAAGCGGUGGAGCAUGUGGUUUAAUUCGAAGCAACGCGAAGAACCUUACCAAAUCUUGACAUCCUUUGACAACUCUAGAGAUAGAGCUUUCCCCUUCGGGGGACAAAGUGACAGGUGGUGCAUGGUUGUCGUCAGCUCGUGUCGUGAGAUGUUGGGUUAAGUCCCGCAACGAGCGCAACCCUUAAGCUUAGUUGCCAUCAUUAAGUUGGGCACUCUAAGUUGACUGCCGGUGACAAACCGGAGGAAGGUGGGGAUGACGUCAAAUCAUCAUGCCCCUUAUGAUUUGGGCUACACACGUGCUACAAUGGACAAUACAAAGGGCAGCGAAACCGCGAGGUCAAGCAAAUCCCAUAAAGUUGUUCUCAGUUCGGAUUGUAGUCUGCAACUCGACUACAUGAAGCUGGAAUCGCUAGUAAUCGUAGAUCAGCAUGCUACGGUGAAUACGUUCCCGGGUCUUGUACACACCGCCCGUCACACCACGAGAGUUUGUAACACCCGA